rnacentral:lncRNA from 10 species
AGGGCGCAGGAGGUUGCAGCCAGGCUAACAGAAACCCAGCCCUGCCCACUGGGUGAAACUGCAAGUCGAGAGCGUGGGAAACCAGCAAGUUGAGAGAGGAUCCAGAAGUAACCCCUUCUAAAACGGGAAAGAUGCCUUCCGAAAGACCGGAUGGCCUGGUACUGGUCUUCUCUAGACUGAAGGUCCUCCACCAGGUCUCCUGCUGCUGCUACCUAAGAAAGAAAUCUCACAAGGGUGUUAAAAGCACUUGGCCCUAAAGAGAAAACACUAGGAGGAUGGGAACCAGGGACAGAGAAGCUACUUGCUCUGCAGCUGUUUGGGCCAGUAUGUUCCCUAAUCUUGAUGGCCAUCCUGGGCUUAUUUUCCUGAGAGUCUCUAAGUGACUCACUGCAUCACGUAAAACUAAGAAAAAGGAUGUCCUGAAUUUUCCUGCUUAGAGAGCUUGUUUUUCUUUCCUGUUGCAUCAAAGGGGUCUGUUAAACUUUCUAAAAGUACUAAUCUGACCUGAUAUCUGAAGUAACAGAUAGGAAUUUGGGCUCUUUAAAUGGAGCCCUUCCCCCAUACCUGCAUCUCAUUGAAGAGGCUGAACUUCAAAACAAAAUCAUGUUGGAGAAUUAAGUCUCGUUCCCAGAUUUAAUUUCUUAUUUUUAUAUUGUUGCAUAAGAAAUCUACUCUAUAAGGCAUCUAUUUUCAAAUUUGGAAAAUCUUAUUUUAAGUUCAUUUAUUUAAAGACCAACAAACAAAAACACCAAAUUCACUAGCCCAGGUCUUUAUGGACCACCAUCUCCCCUCCCCGCCUCCAUUUCUCCCUGGAGUAGUGAUUGUGGGGCCACUGCAUGAAUUUUACUCUAUUAUUUAUCUAAUGAGCAAAGCCAAGGCUGGCAAUGCUGAGAAUGCAUGAGGGAAAAAAAGAUAUCACAAUGACAGCACACUCUGCAGCGUUCCAUCCAAAAGCAAAUGAUCCAAUGGCCCCAUCUAGACUGGAGACACCAACUCAUGACUCAGCUGGCCUUGUGGCCCACACCCAGAAGUGGACUCAGUGCAUGAGGACUAUUUUCCACACUCCUAUGAUAGCAUCCCCAACCAAUCAGCAGGACCAUUUCCUAGCCCCUUGCCCACCAAACUAUCUUUUAAAAAACCUGGCUGGGCGCAGUGGCUCACACCUGCAAUCCCAGCACUUUGGGAGUCUGAGGUGGGUGGAUCACGAGGUCAGGAGUUCAAGACCAGCCUGGCUAAGAUGGUGAAACCCUGUCUCUACUAAAAAUACAAAAAAAAUUAGCCGGGCAUGGUGGCAGGCACCUGUAAUCCCAGCUACUUGGGAGGUUGAGGCAGAGAAUUGCUUGAACCCAGAGGCGGAGGUUACAGUGAGCCGAGAUCACUCCACUGCACUCCAGCCUGGAUAACAGAGCAAGACUCUGUCUCAAGGAAAAAAAAAAACAACCUAGCCUCCACAUUUUCAGAGAGGCUCGUUUGAGUAAUAAUAAAACUCUGGUCUCCCAUUUAGCUGGCUCUUCUUGUAUUAAACUCUUUUUCUAUUGCAAUAACCCUGUCUUGAUAAAUUAGCUUCAUCUGGGAAGCAGGCAAGAAGAACUUAUUGGAUGGUUAUAUAGUGGGCUUCUAGCAUGGCCUAGAGAUGCAGAGGCCAUGGCAGAUAAAGCCAACUUCCUCCAACUGAGUAGAGGACUCAGGGGCCCAGAGGAGUCAGAAGGGGAGAUGGGAGCCAAGGAUGAGGAAGAACUCCUGGAAAGGCCUGAGAAAGAAGGACCCUAAGUUUAGCAUCUUAGGUCCCGAAAAAUGGCUGAAGGAGAGGAAAAGAUGGAGAGAAAGAGUAUUGUGACAUGAACCUGCCCCUGUGCCUCGAGUUCCUGGGAGUUUCUUGUUAGCUUCUGUGUCCUGUUUUUCUGUAUCCUCUGCAAAGGAAAGAUGAAAUCUGUUGCCACAUAGGCGAUGGGGUUCAGGACACACUACUCCAAAAGAUGGCAUCUUGUCAUAUUGAAGAAAAUAGCAGAAACUGGACCAUUGGUCUUACCUUUCCCCAUACUUCUCCCCUGAAGUGGAUUAUAAAACCUAGGAAGGACUCUCUGACUGAGACGGUUUGGCUGUGUCUCCACCCAAAUCUCAUCUUGAAUUGUAACUCCCACAAUUCCCACAUGUCAUGGGAGGAACCCAGUGGGAGGUGAUUGAAUUAUGGGGGCGAGUCUUUCCUGCACUGUUCUUGUGAUAGUGAAUGAGUCUCAUGAGAUCUGAUGGUUUGAUAAGGGGAAGCCCGUUUUGCUUGGCUCUCAUUCUCUCUCUUUGCCUGCCACCAUCCACGUAGGAUGUGACUUGCUCCUCCUUGUUUUCCAACAUGAUUGUGAGGCCUCCCCAGCCACGUGGAACUGUAAGUCCAUUAAACCUCUUUCUUUUAUAAAUUGCCCAGUCCAGGUAUGCCUUUAUCAGCAGCAUGAAAACCAACUAAUACACUGACCUUCCCCUAAAGUAGGUUAUAUGACCCUCAUCUGACAGAUGCCCUCCUUAGACCUACAGGGAAGGAAAAAGCAUCCUUAUCUCUGAAAAUGGAGGAACACAGAGAAAAAUUCAAACAAACAGGCCUCGUUAAGUCCCUGCCCCAUUUAUUACCAUUAGAUAAUAUUCUUUGUCCUAUCAUAUUUCUCCAUGACUGUUCAUUCUUCAUCAAACCUAGAAUAAAAACACUCAAAUGUACCUGUUUCUUUGGUCUUCAUUUCCUUAUGAAGGCUCUCAUGUCACGUAAAACUUAUUUGAAAUAAACCUGUAUGGUUUUCUGAUUAAGCUGCUUUUUGUUACAGGCCAUAAACCUAGGAUAGGUAGAGAAAAGGAUAUUUUUCCUCCCCUACAUUGAUCCAGAUGCAAUCACCACCAUUAGCAGUGCUUGCUUGACUUUGACUGCUCAAGAAAAGUUAGUGGAUUUGCACCCACUCACCCACUCCCAUCCCCAUUUCUAUGAAACACAUGAUUUAGCAUUGUGCUAGAAGAGCAGAGAUUUGAGCUCUUCUUAGAGGCCGCUCUAGCAUGCUGCUUCUUCUGAGAGAUAGCAAGUAAGACCCUCAUGGCCAUGCAUCCAAGGUUUGCUGCCUUGAGGGCCACUGCUUUUUACCUUUACAUUGCUGCCUUACUAAGUCCCAGCAGUCCAGGAAAAUUUCCUGGAUUCAGACGUUCCGAUUAUUCUGAAAAUUUAUUUUUCCUGCCCUCCACUCACAGAACUGCUUAGACAGAGUGACUAUAUACCAUUGACUGUAAAUUCAUGAUCAAUUAAAGAAAAUAACUUCUCUAAUCCAAGUCCAAAGGCUGAUAACAGAGGCCCAGGGACUCCUGAGCUAUCAGAGGGAGGCACUAGGCUAGUCUCCCAGUGAAAUCAAGCAAAGAGAGAAAUCAUUAGAGGAGCCAUGUUUAUUGUUUGAAUUUUAUGAAUACAUAGAAUUCUAUGAAUCAAAAAAGGGAAGUUCACAUUGGUUCUGUGCAGCAUGUGAUAAACCACAGCAUUGCUAUCUACAUUUUUUUUCUUUCUUUAUGAUCAGUAGCCUCUCAAUAAAGUGGAUAUUUUGAGUGUUGCAGUACCAGAUACAGACAUAGGUUGUAAAGAAGAAGAGUUUUUCCACUUGUUAAAGAGAUAGGAGUAAAGCAGCAAAAGUCUGGAACAUUUCUGGGGGUAUAUUGCUUAUCAGAGUGUUCAGUUAUUCUAAGGCCAACUUCAUUUUCUAUGGUUUUUCUUAAGAAAACAUUUGUGAAAAUAUCCAAUUAUGAGUACAAACUACCUCCCAUGAAUUAUCUGUGAUGUCUAUACUGAUUCCCCAUGGAUGUUUAUAUAGCCAGAUGUUUGAAAUCUUGGGCACCAUCUCCUCUGACAUAAACAAUUUUCUGUGAAACCUUCCAUGUUAACCAGUGGUACCUGAUUCUCAAAUCUGAUGUAAAUCUAGCAUAUACUCUUCUCCCACACAAUGUCUUUGACUGUAACUGUUUUGCUAUUAUACUGAAAGUACACACUCUUUUCUCCUAACCAUGGGCCCCAAUUCCCACAAGAUGAGGACAAACUACAGAGUAGCAGAGGGAAAAGACCAUUGCUUUUCCUCUUUGAAGACUUUCUAUGAAAUUUCAUCUUUCUGCUCUGCGGAUGGCGUUUUAUGUUGGGAAAAUAGUAGAACUCAUAAUUUGGUCUCCUGGACUUAAUUUCUAAUUACUUCAUAUUGGUGACUUUUUUUUAACCUCAAAGAGGAAAACGGCAAGCCCUAAAUGCCUGUUUUUCUCCUUUUUUGGCCCAAGUGGGUAACUGAGGCUCAGUUUACAUACAUCAAAUUACCAAAAUGCUGUCUUGUAUAUAGUUUUGAAAGAUAGAGAUGGGUUUGUAAUGUUUUUCAGACCUGAUUCAGAGCUCAAUUUAGUUUUUCUUUUGGUAUUCAGGCUAUUAUAUUCGUCAUAAAAACAGGCACUGUGUGUGCCUUAGUAAAUAAUUUAUAACUUUCCCCAUAACUCAGGGGAACCCACCAUAGUCUGACUGUCUGCCUUUUACCUUCUCAUCUCUAUACCUCCAGGUCUCUAGUGAUCAUAAAAGUGAUCGAAGCCCUGAUCUGAUUUUUAUCACAAAGCCAUUCUUCUUUGUGGGUACUUUGGUUCUGGAGACAGAGAAUCAUGAGAUCAGAUAAAGCCAUGUGGAGGGCUGAAAGUUGGCUGGAAUGGCGCUUGGGGCCCAGUUUAUGCUGUUGGAGCAUUUCCUGUGUGCCCUUUGAAACCUCUGAACUCAGCUCUUCAAAGUGAGAGCUUUGUCUUUCCGCUGAACACAUAUAUUUGCUACUUAUUAUCUUUCUCUUGCCAUCUCCACCCUUACUUGACUCAGCCAACAUCGAUAUAUCAAAGCAAAAGCAUUGCUCUGACUGAGUCAUAAGUUAUACUUUUACCUGACAUUAUCUGGCUGUGUAGAAAUGAAAGCAUAAAAAUAAUGGAGGUUUUGUGUACAGGUCUACACACACACACACACACACACACACACACACACACACACACACACACACACGUCUUCUUCUUUGCUUCACUUAUCAUGCUCUCACUACUUCCACUGUUUCUCUCCCCAACUCCUGCCCACUCCCACUCAUAGCAGUUUAUUAAAGAAGUAUGUUUUCUCAUGAGCCAAUUGGGUAAUUUUUCAAGUUGAACCCCAUUAACAUUAUAAAUGCCGUUAUAAAUGCUUGUUUUUCAAAAAUUUGUCUUUCCAAAACUUUGUUCUGGGUCAGAAAAUUUAUUUCUCUUUAGAGAGCCAGUGUUGCAUGAGGAAAUUGAAGCUGAUCUCUGGGUGUGUGUUUGUGCUAAUUUGCUGUACAAUCAAAUACAGAUAUAGGUUAAUAAAUGCUGUUCUUUGAUCUGUUGCUACAAAGGAUUCAUUGUAAAUACAUUACUAGAUAAGUAAGUUAGAACUUUGUAACUGUCUCUUGCAAACGGUGCCCCAUGCCACCCAUUAGCAUGUGCAAGAAGUGAUACAUUUGGCUUCAGCCUGCCUGGGUUUUACUUUGCUGAUUUGUUUAUUUUUAAAAUAGUUACCCAUAGUAUACUUCCAUUUGGGGUGUCCUCAUAGAAGGAUAGCACUCAGGCAGAGAAAUAGCCCAAAAAAACAAUAACAGCACCAAAAACUUGGUAGCAAGAAUUUAAUAAAACCAAGGGAGGCCAAUGUUUCUAUAGGUAACCAUUUAACAUUUGUCAUUAUGUGUCUAGCUCUAGCCAAGGCAUUGCAAAGAAUGCAAAAAGACAUGAUCAAAGGCCUCAAGAUGUUUACAGUCCUGUUAGGGGAUGAAGGUAUUGGAGUGAAUCACAUUCACUAAAAUGGGAAUAAAGACUUCUACCUUAAAAUCAUGGUGUUUUUCAGGGAAUCAGAACUAAUAUGAUAUGACUGGAGUUAAUAUGUUAUUGUGGGGGAUGGGGAGGAGUAGACUAUUGGUAGUUGUGGCUACAAAUUUGGCAGGAUUCAAAUAUUGAAAGGGAUUUGUAUGUCAAGCUAAAGAAUUAUAAUUUUUCUCUAUAGACAAUGGGGGAAUUAACCACCGAAGAAUUUUGAGUUGGUGAAUGACAUAAAAAGAUUUGUAUUUUAGAAAAAUAACUGGCAUGUUGCGGGGUGUGAAAUGAAGUAAAAGAAGUCUUCAGUUGUGAAGUUACAUGUCCAUUGAGUCUAGCAGAUACCAAACAAUCACAUCAAAAUCCUGAAAUAAUAAUAAAUAAAGAAUUCUACCUUGUCUGUCUCAGUGAUUGUACGUGGAG